rnacentral:miRNA from 1 species
CUGCCACGAGCGUGCGGGCCU